rnacentral:rRNA from 1 species
AGGGCGCAUGGUGAAUGCCUUGGCAUCAGGAGCCGAUGAAGGACGUGAUAAGCUGCGAUAAGCUUCGGGUAGGCGCACAUAGCCAGUGAUCCGGAGAUUUCCGAAUGUGGGAACACACAUGGGAAACCCCAUGUAUCGUAUAGUGAAUACAUAGCUAUACGAGGGUAAACCUAGGGAACUGAAACAUCUAAGUACCUAGAGGAAGAGAAAGAAAAAUCGAUUUCCUUAGUAGCGGCGAGCGAAAGGGAAAGAGCCCAAACCAAAGAUUUAUCUUUGGGGUUGCGGACAGAGCAUUAACGAGAAGUCGUAACUAACCGAACAUAACUGGAAAGUUAGACCGUAGGAGGUAAUAGUCCUGUAGGUGAAAGUUAAGAUAAUCAAGCUCUGAUCCAGAGUACCACGAGACACGUGAAACCUUGUGGGAAGCAGGGAGGACCACCUCCCAAGGCUAAAUACUACCUGAUGACCGAUAGUGAAGCAGUACCGUGAGGGAAAGGUGAAAAGAACCCCGGGAGGGGAGUGAAAUAGAACCUGAAACCGUGUGCCUACAACCGGUCAAAGCCCCAUAUGAGGGUGAUGACGUGCUUUUUGUAGAACGAGCCAACGAGUUACGGUAUGUAGCAAGGUUAAGUACUUAAGGUACGGAGCCGAAGGGAAACCGAGUCUUAAUAGGGCGACUAGUUGCAUGCCGUAGACCCGAAACCGGGUGACCUAUCCAUGGCCAGGUUGAAGCGAGGGUAAAACUUCGUGGAGGACCGAACCACGUUGCUGUUGAAAAAGCAUGGGAUGAGCUGUGGAUAGCGGAGAAAUUCCAAUCGAACUCGGAGAUAGCUGGUUCUCCCCGAAAUAGCUUUAGGGCUAGCGUCGGAUAUGUGUAGUGGAGGUAGAGCACUGAAUGGGCUAGGGGGCAUAUCGCUUACCGAACCUUAUCAAACUCCGAAUGCCAUAUACAUUAAGUCCGGCAGUCAGACUACGAAUGAUAAGAUCCGUGGUCAAAAGGGAAACAGCCCAGAUCGUCAGCUAAGGUCCCAAAGUGUAAGUUAAGUGGAAAAGGAUGUGGGAUUUCUAAGACAACUAGGAUGUUGGCUUAGAAGCAGCCACUCAUUUAAAGAGUGCGUAAUAGCUCACUAGUCGAGAGAUCCUGCGCCGAAAAUGUCCGGGGCUCAAACUUACCACCGAAGCUACGGGCUUGCGAAAGCAAGCGGUAGGGGAGCGUCGUAAUCGGGCUGAAGUCGUACCGUAAGGAGCGGUGGACUGAUUACGAGUGAGAAUGUUGGCAUUAGUAGCGAGAUGUAGGUGAGAAUCCUACAGGCCGAAUAUCUAAGGUUUCCUCAGGAAGGCUCGUCCGCUGAGGGUUAGUCGGGACCUAAGCCGAGGCCGAAAGGCGUAGGCGAUGGACAAUCGGUUGAUAUUCCGAUACCACUACCAUCGUUAAUAUCGAGGGUGUGACGGAGAAGGAUAGUGUGUGCUAGCGAUUGGAAAUGCUAGUCUAAGCGUUUAGGGAGUUACGGUAGGCAAAUCCGCUGUAACAAUUCUGAGGCGUGAUGGGGAAGGCCAUAUAGGCCGAAGUACAUGAUUCCAUGCUUCCAAGAAAAGCAUCUAGAGAGAGAAGUAGUGCCCGUACCGCAAACCGACACAGGUAGAUGAGGAGAGAAUCCUAAGGCCGGCGGAAGAAUUGCAGUUAAGGAACUAGGCAAAUUGACCCCGUAAGUUCGCGAGAAGGGGUGCCUGCGAGAGCAGGCCGCAGAGAAUAGGCCCAAGCAACUGUUUAGCAAAAACACAGGUCUCUGCUAAAGCGAAAGCUGAUGUAUAGGGGCUGACGCCUGCCCGGUGCUGGAAGGUUAAGGGGAACACUUAGCGCAAGCGAAGGUGUGAACUUAAGCCCCAGUAAACGGCGGCCGUAACUAUAACGGUCCUAAGGUAGCGAAAUUCCUUGUCAGGUAAGUUCUGACCCGCACGAAUGGCGUAAUGACUUGGGCACUGUCUCAACUGCAAAUCCGGCGAAGUUGUAGUGCGAGUGAAGAUGCUCGCUACCCGCGAUUGGACGGAAAGACCCCGUAGAGCUUUACUGCAGCUUAGCAUUGAAUUCCGGUAUUGUCUGUACAGGAUAGGUGGGAGACUGGGAAACUAGGGCGUCAGCCUUAGUGGAGUCAACCUUGGGAUACCACCCUGACAGUACUGGGGUUCUAACAGGACGCCAUGAAACUGGUGACUGGACAUUGUUAGGUGGGCAGUUUGACUGGGGCGGUCGCCUCCUAAAAAGUAACGGAGGCGUUCAAAGGUUCGCUCAGCUUGAACGGAAAUCAAGCAAAAG